GCGAUGGUGAGAAAUACUUCCAUUUUCUUGUGCAUGUUUCUUUCCUGAUGACUUUUGUGCAUGCCUGACCUUUCCUGAGCAGUACAUGGUGCAGGCCAGGAACAUAGAGCCAGUAUGGUUUUUCAUAGACUAGUCAGCACAGCCUGAAGCUUUCUGUGUCAAGUUCCAGCCUUAUGUAGGUGUCCAAGCAAGCAUAGCUUUGAGAGAAUUCUCACUAAGCUCAGAUCUUUUGGUAAGUGGUCAUCUCUGACAUGGGCCUGGAGUUUCAAUCCAUUUUUUUUUCAUGAGGCAAGAGGGAAGCCUUAUGAAAACCUUUGUAGUAAAGAAGAUAUUUUAACUGGCAAGUGAUCUAGUUAUUAAGCGUUUAGUUUGGUCGCAGGCAAUCUUGUUAGUUGCUUUUCUACUGGGAGUGUUUUUUAACCUACUGGGGCCUCUUGAACCCCUUUGCCAAUUAAGAAGUCGGAGGUAAGACUACUAUCAAAUUGCUCAUCAUUUAUGAAGGAAAGGUAAUCACAUUCAUACAGAAGCUAGUAGCUUUUUUUUUUUUUUUUUUAGGAAUUCUUAGUUUCAAAUAGCCAAAGAAACCAAUCAACCAAGAAAGCUGUUUAAGUAAUUGACAGAGGGGUUAAAAUUAAAAUUAAAACUAAACAGUGCAUGAGUACAUCGAAAAGUUGCUAUUGGUAACUACCUUGUAGGGGAGUUGUUCUGGAUUUUAUUAAAUUCAUUGUCUUUUGGGGACACGUUUUUGCCAGUGCAUGUUCCAGCAUCUAGAAUAGCAGGAUAAAACUGUUGAAAACUGGCUAAAACGGUGUAUUUCUACUUUGUUCUUUUCGUCUCGUUUUUAGACAAAAGGCUCAUUGUGUUGUGAAAGCUCAGGUCUUGUGUAACUUGUUGACUUUUUAUAUGUACAUAUCGGUCUUGCUAGAUUGCCUUCAUGGCAGUUCCGUGAGCCAGAUGGAAGAAAGGAAAGUUAUGGAAUACUACCAGUCGAUCUUCGCAGAGUUCAUGUAUUGGCGGGAGUUUAUUUUAUUUUGUUUCAUUUUUUUUGACAAAGGAGAGAGAGAAGAUACUACCUGUAAAGUCAACACUGUGCUGUUCUGCAAAAGAUUUUAAAUUCUAAAACUGGUAACUAUUUUUCCAAAGGUCAGCUGAUACUCUGUUUUCUAUUAUUUUCCUCAAAAUAUGGUUUAGGAAGAGGACUUUUGUUAUCCAUAUGUCCCCACUUAAGAAGCUGGAGAAAUUAACUUUGUAAGCAUGUCACAUCAUCAUUUGCAUUCUGUUGGCAGAGGAUCGUUGAGUAUUUCAGAGGAUGUGCUCUAUGAGCGGCUCAAAUAUUUGGGUUUUUGAAAAUGUAUAUUUAAUUAUAAGGAGUGCCUUUUGCAUUAAGCCAGUUCUGGAUCGCAAAAAUGAAAAAGCAGUAAGUCACGACUGAUCCCUAAGCAGGAACAAGUGGCCCUUAACCAUUCUGUUAUUCAUUUGUUUUGUCUAUGGCAAGAGCAAGUUAACUUUUAUUUUUACGCUUAUUGGCACAUAAAAGUGCAUCAAGGUGUGAAGAAAAAAAGUCUUUGCUAUAGUGCUUUCAAGGAGCAGCCUCCCAAAUCUUGUGUUUUUCUUUUAGAAAUAUAGGAAAAUCAUUUCUAAAUUACAGAGAAUGCUGUAAUUGGCUUACCUAUGUACUUGGGGGUAGCAACAAGUGAUGUAAGUCAAAUGUGUGCUUUCUUAUAAGGUAGCCCUAACAUGACAUGCCUGUGAAGUUUUUACCAUAGUGAGCAGGACAGACCCAUUCUACGUUUGGCUUCAGUUUUCUGUUAGAUCUAAAAGAAAUGCAGCUGUUUUUGCUAUUCCCAGUACCCGUGUUACCUUUGAUUGUUGAUGGCUUAUUUUUAUGCUUGUUGCUUCAAAUCCUUGGGCUAACAAAAGUUUCUGGUUGGUAUUAUUCCUGAAGGGGUGAUGUUGAUGAAAAGAUGUUUAAAAAGGUUGCUUACCAGAGUUUGCAUCUUUAUUGCUUAUGAAAAAUUCAUCGGCCGCUGUGUGGAUCAGACUACCUUUUGGUUUGGUUUUCGUGACGUAUCCCAGAAUUCCUCCUUACGCCUGAACAGGGGCCAAGUGUCUGGCCAUUGGUUUCUACUGGACGUCAGUAAUGUCUGCUGUUCUCCUGCAUAACUGAAAGGUUGCAAAAGAAAAUAGUAAGGAUCUUUUGUCUGAAAAUAUUUCAAAUUUGAUUUAAGCGAUUUUGAGACUUGUUAUUUGUGGAAGAGAAGCUGCCAAUACAAAUAUGAGGUAGAUGGGUCAACUUAUAUACAACUGAUUUGACAAGCAUCUGUUAUAAUGCUGAAGAUUUGUAAACACUAAACAAUGUUUUUACCUCCUUAAAAGUUUUGAGAACUUGCCAAUAUUGGCAGGAGGCAAAGCCUCUGAAACGUGCUUCAAGAUACAUGCCAGAACCAUUGUGGCCUUUUCACCUAUUGUGCAGUUUUUUUUUCUUUCUUUCAAAACGUAUUUUUUCCUCCUAAAAAGAUGUGCCUUUUCUUUCCCGUAAGAUGGCCACAGAAGUGAGAUCUUUUGCUUCCAAAAAUAGGUAUGCUAAUUAUUGUCUCAUUCAUCGGCAGCUUCUUGGUUUAAAAGUAAAAAUUUUAUAGAAUGUUGAAAGUAAAUGCAGACCUGAUCUUUUUUUUUUUUUUUUUAAGCAGAGGUGAUUUAUUUUAAGGCCUAUUGAGAUACUAAAAUACAAUACAUAAUUACAUUCCAAGUUUCUCCUUAAAUCCAGUGGUAUUAGAAUGGUGUGAAUUUCAUGGCCGAUAAAUAGUAACAAGUGUAUUGAAACUGGAGUCAUUUCAUAAGCCUGAGAAUUUCAUUUCAUUAGAGGUAUAAAAGACCAAAGCCAUGUUGUGCUCUUAGUUUGGUCUCUAUUUGAGUUGCCCUUCCAUGUAGCCUAUGUUGUGGUAUUGUGGCCAGUGUUUUUCUUUGUGGGUAUGGAACAGUAAAGCUAAUUUAUGACCAGCUUUUACCCGACGAUCUGUAUCAGAAUCUACACUAUACCCGGCACGUGGCAAGGUCACAAUUUAAGUUGUUAAGGUCACAACCUUCGCCACCAGGCAUUUGACCUUUUAGAUAAAGUUAACCUUUGUUCAUUAGUAGGCACUCAACCGAGAACUUUCUGGAGAGGUUUCUUUUCUUUUUCUUUUUUAAAAAACUGCUCCUGUAUAACUUCUGGUAAUAUAAUCAGUGUCUACAAAGAUUCUCACUUGAGUUAUUUAAGUUUUGUAAGAGGUUAUUAUUUUUUUUUUAAGGACUCCUUGUAUGGUUGGAGGUAGAUUGCUACAUUUACAACCUAGAAUGACAGUUAUCAUUUAUAUUUGGUAGUGAUUACCUGGUGUGGGGUACGAUGAAAGCUCUGAGGUCACCAAAUUUAAGAACUAAAAUGAAACAAACAGAAUUAGGUUUAAUUCAACAAAGACCUUUGCUAAUUUGCAGGUGGCAUUAGGCCCCAAGGCUAUAUCAUAUGGAAUGAUCUUCAUUUUGUUUUUGCAGGUGAAGAAUUUUCUAAAAUUGGAAACUAUUUUUUAGCAGUCUUAAAAUUUACUUUGAAAGACUAAUAAGUGACCAGACUCUCUCAGGUAAUUGUUGUUACUGUUAAUUAGCCAAUGAGUUAAAUGUGUAUUGAUAUUGUCCUAAUGGCAGUGUGAGAAUUCAGUUAUUUUUAAGGUGGGAAGUGAACACUCUGCCUGUCACCUUUGAGUAGAGUUGUCACUGCUUGCUUGACCCCCACUUGCUUUUGCUUGGGUCAGAAAUGGCAGAGGUCCCAUCCCUCAGGGAGAGAGCUGUUGAGGUGUCUCAGAAGCUUAGUACCUGGCACCAUAAACCUGUACAGCGCUGUUACCAGUUACCCCAUUACCUGCGCCAGAUUGUUCACUUAAUGAUGCUGUUGGGAAUGUUCAUUUUUUUAAAAAAUUAGUUAGGUCACUGCUAUGAUGUACCACAUAUUAUUUCAUUUUAGCCAAAAGAGAGAUACCUCCCAUUCAGGUGCAUUUUCGUUUUAUUUGGGGCUUCGUGCUUGCCAUUCCUUCAUAGACUUCUAGAGAAAGCCAUGAUAUGCAGAUAGACCAGAUGGUCCUGUUGACAGAUUGAGAAUUCACUUCCUACUGCUUCAGAGCAGGUGUAAGAUUGGGAGUGUCUGUGAGCGUGUGUUGCGCUUGCUGUGUGUGCACAUCCAGGCUGCAUCCCGGGCGCUGUGUAAGUAGUGGGAAUGAUUCCAGUAUGAAAAGCAAUGGAAAGAUGGCAUAACUAGUCUAUCCACAAGGUGACCAGUGCGUUCAGAAUGAUUGUGUAAAAAAUUUUUUUUAAGAUGAAUGGUGUCAUACUGUUAGUUUAUAGUUCUGUGCCCAAUUAUGACAGAGUCAUAAUUUUUAGGUACCAUAGCAUAUCAGUUUGAAGGCGUCUUGCAUAUCUACAAUGUAAUCAAUAUGUUCUACAAGCAGGCAUAUGUGCCUGUGCGUUUACAUCCAAGUCUCAGACUAUAUACACGCUGUAAUUAAAACUUCUUUUGUACUUUAAACUCCUUUGCAGAAAGUUGUGCAGUUAGUUCCUGUGAUUUGUGGUGAUAAAGUGUGUUUGGAAAAAGGAAUAAGACUAAUAAAUGGUGACAUCAGUAUUGUACUCUAUCUCAAAUUCUGACUGUAAUCUUAAGCCAACUCUACAGUGGAUUUUGUGGCUGAUGGACUGCACUGUAAAUUAUUUGUAUAUGCUCACACUAAGGAAUUUUUAUAUGUCUUUUAAAUGUUUCAAGAUAGCAAUCAACAAACUUGAGUGUUUUCUGUGUAACUUGAGAGUAGUAACAGUAUCCUUUGUCUAGAAUGUAGUAACAAAAUCCUGUACUGGGAAUGUAGUGAGAAUGAUAGAAGUUCAAAGGCAGAGAGUGCAAAGGAAGGAAGAAAGAGCAAAAGUUGUACCAGAUCAAACCUUUGAAUGGAGGUCAGUUCAUUUAUGGCUAAGAGGUUUGAGUGUGUUGGUUAGAAAUUUCCCAAUGCUGCUGGCAUGGAUUUGCCUUGUCUUCCUUCCCACCCAGUGAUGAAUAGCAUUAAUUUAAACCUAUUUAAGGCUGGUGUGGGAGAAACCACAGCUUUUGUUGUGGUUCGUUCAGUACACAGUAGGACUGGGUGUUUCACUUGGUUAGGGCCUCAAGCUGCUUCCAGAGGGCGCAGAACAGCCUGUCGGCUUUUAAAAUCAUACACAGAAGCAAUGACAAUUCUAAUUGCUCACAAAUGUCAAUAUAGAUUAUUGAAAACAAUUCUCAGGAUUAAAAUAAAAGAAAAAAACCCUCAUAAACUACAUACUGAAUUGAGUGAAUGUGCUAAACUCAGGUUUAUUAUCAUCCCAGCAGUAACUUCCCCAUCAUUAGAGGUCAGAGCUUCAUUCAAUAAAUAGUAACAAUUGUACGUCCUGGAGGG